rnacentral:rRNA from 1 species
GGGUUGUGAGGUUAAGCGACUAAGCGUACACGGUGGAUGCCCUGGCAGUCAGAGGCGAUGAAGGGCGUGCUAAUCUGCGAUAAGCGCCGGUAAGGUGAUAUGAACCGUUAUAACCGGCGAUACCCGAAUGGGGAAACCCAGUGUGAUUCGUCACACUAUCAUUAACUGAAUCCAUAGGUUAAUGAGGCGAACCGGGGGAACUGAAACAUCUAAGUACCCCGAGGAAAAGAAAUCAACCGAGAUUCCCCCAGUAGCGGCGAGCGAACGGGGAGGAGCCCAGAGCCUGAAUCAGCAUGUGUGUUAGUGGAAGCGUCUGGAAAGGCGCGCGAUACAGGGUGACAGCCCCGUACACAAAAGCGCAUGUGCUGUGAGCUCGAUGAGUAGGGCGGGACACGUGGUAUCCUGUCUGAAUAUGGGGGGACCAUCCUCCAAGGCUAAAUACUCCUGACUGACCGAUAGUGAACCAGUACCGUGAGGGAAAGGCGAAAAGAACCCCGGCGAGGGGAGUGAAAAAGAACCUGAAACCGUGUACGUACAAGCAGUGGGAGCCCCACCACUAAGCCAGUGGUGAACUCCACAUACGCAUCCUUUGCUGAGGAUACGGUUAACGGAGCGAAAGCGACGUUCAACCGCAAAAGAAGCAGAGGGGGCUUAGUGGUGGGGUGACUGCGUACCUUUUGUAUAAUGGGUCAGCGACUUAUAUUCUGUAGCAAGGUUAACCGUAUAGGGGAGCCGGAGGGAAACCGAGUCUUAAUUGGGCGUUAAGUUGCAGGGUAUAGACCCGAAACCCGGUGAUCUAGCCAUGGGCAGGUUGAAGGUUGGGUAACACUAACUGGAGGACCGAACCGACUAAUGUUGAAAAAUUAGCGGAUGACCUGUGGCUGGGGGUGAAAGGCCAAUCAAACCGGGAGAUAGCUGGUUCUCCCCGAAAGCUAUUUAGGUAGCGCCUCGUGAAUUCAUCUCCGGGGGUAGAGCACUGUUUCGGCUAGGGGGCCAUCCCGGCUUACCAACCCGAUGCAAACUGCGAAUACCGGAGAAUGUUAUCACGGGAGACACACGGCGGGUGCUAACGUCCGUCGUGAAGAGGGAAACAACCCAGACCGCCAGCUAAGGUCCCAAAGUCAUGGUUAAGUGGGAAACGAUGUGGGAAGGCCCAGACAGCCAGGAUGUUGGCUUAGAAGCAGCCAUCAUUUAAAGAAAGCGUAAUAGCUCACUGGUCGAGUCGGCCUGCGCGGAAGAUGUAACGGGGCUAAACCAUGCACCGAAGCUGCGGCAGCGAACGUAUCACUUAAAGCGAUUCAGCGGGUUACGAUUGACGGAGCGAAGCGACGUCAAAGCGUAUACAAAGUCGAGUCGGUUUAAGGAUACGUUCGUUGGGUAGGGGAGCGUUCUGUAAGCCUGUGAAGGUGGCCUGUGAGGGUUGCUGGAGGUAUCAGAAGUGCGAAUGCUGACAUAAGUAACGAUAAAGCGGGUGAAAAGCCCGCUCGCCGGAAGACCAAGGGUUCCUGUCCAACGUUAAUCGGGGCAGGGUGAGUCGACCCCUAAGGCGAGGCCGAAAGGCGUAGUCGAUGGGAAACGGGUUAAUAUUCCCGUACUUGGUGUUACUGCGAAGGGGGGACGGAGAAGGCUAUGUUGGCCGGGCGACGGUUGUCCCGGUUUAAGCGUGUAGGUGUGUGUUCCAGGUAAAUCCGGUUCACUUUAACACUGAGGCGUGAUGACGAGGCACUACGGUGCUGAAGCAACAAAUGCCCUGCUUCCAGGAAAAGCCUCUAAGCAUCAGGUAACAU